CUCCCCCGGGCUACAACUGCGAACUCUCCAAGAAAAGCAGGCUCUUCUAUCUCACACCCAAUUAUAACUCAUACUCCCACCCAUCAGCCCAAACUAAGAGUUCUCGCAAAUCGUUGCCUUUAUUCUUAAACCAAUCAGACCCUAACUCAAUUUUUCACUCUUGAUCAAUCCAUGGCCUGCGCGAGCCUUGUGAAACUGAAUGCGUCAUCGUCUCAGUGGAUAGGACAGCAAUCCUUCACCCAACGCCACGGAUCGUCAACUCGCCGAGUCUCCAUCCCGUUCCGCACCAAGGCUUACGCAAACAAACUUGUCCAAACUGCUAUGAGUCAUAUAAUUUCUUUGAUCCACCUUCCCAACCCUUGGGGUUUUGACCUUUGACCCUUGCCUUUCUGAUAUUAAUUUCUGAUAUGCAUACUUAGCGUUUGGAUCAGUUGACUGUGAUUCUUGUGAAUCUAUCUCUGUUGUUGAAUUCUUUCAUCAUCUAAUUUACAAACACAAAUCAAUUGCCUCUCCUGGUUGUGGGAUCCUUACCAUUGAUGAAUCUAACGCAUCUUGUGGGAGAAUGCUAACCUCUAUCGGCUUGGAUAAUACCAAGGUAAACCGACAGGUAUACAGACAACUUUUGCUCACCAGUCCUGGCCUGGGUGAAUUCAUUUCCGAGGCCAUUCUUUUUUAGGAAACAUUGUUACCAGUCAACUACAGAUGGGAAGAAAUUUGUCAAUUGCUUGCGUGAUGAGAAAAUUGUUCCGGGCAUUAAAGUUGAUAAGGUUUUAUGUCAAUAGAAUGCCAUACACAUUUAUUACAUGCUUUAUUUAACAUUGUGUUAUCGGUAAUGUGCUUGUAGGUUCCCAUUUUUUAACUUAUUGGGUAUCAGGGUUUGGUUCCCUUACCAGGAUCAAACAGUGAGUCAUGGUGCCAAGGUUUAGAUGGAUUAGCUUCAAGAUCUACUAAAUACUACAAGCAAGGUGCUCGUUUUGCCAAGUGGUAAGCAGUUGUUAACAUUCCUUGUGGCCCUUUUGCUUUAG